AGUGAACGCUGGCGGUAGGCCUAACACAUGCAAGUCGAACGGCAGCACAGUAAGAGCUUGCUCUUACAGGUGGCGAGUGGCGGACGGGUGAGGAAUACAUCUGAAUCUACUUUUUCGUGGGGGAUAACGUAGGGAAACUUACGCUAAUACCGCAUACGACCUACGGGUGAAAGCAGGGGAUCUUCGGACCUUGCGCGAUUGAAUGAGCCGAUGUCGGAUUAGCUAGUUGGCGGGGUAAAGGCCCACCAAGGCGACGAUCCGUAGCUGGUCUGAGAGGAUGAUCAGCCACACUGGAACUGAGACACGGUCCAGACUCCUACGGGAGGCAGCAGUGGGGAAUAUUGGACAAUGGGCGCAAGCCUGAUCCAGCCAUACCGCGUGGGUGAAGAAGGCCUUCGGGUUGUAAAGCCCUUUUGUUGGGAAAGAAAAGCAGCAGGUUAAUACCCCGCUGUUCUGACGGUACCCAAAGAAUAAGCACCGGCUAACUUCGUG
rnacentral:rRNA from 1 species